UUACGCUGUUAUCCCUAAGGUAACUUAGUCUAAUAAUCAAUAAUAAUGGAUCUAAUAUUCAUAAAUCAAUGUUAUAUAAAUAAAAAAGUUAAAUAUAUAUUUUUGUCACCCCAACAAAACAUAAACAAAUAUAAAAAUAUUAAUAUAUAAGUAUUUAUAUAAUAUUAUGUAAAGAUCUAUAGGGUCUUCUCGUCUUCCAAUAGAAUUUUAGCUUUUUAACUAAAAAAUUAAAUUUUAAAACAAAUAAAAUGAGACAGUCAGUUCCUCGUUAAACCUUUCAUUCCAGCCCUCUAUUAAAAGACUAAUGAUUAUGCUACCUUUGCACGGUCAGUAUACCGCGGCCGUUGAACUCCUCACUGGGCAGGUCAGACCUUCAAUUAAAUUCAAAAGGACAUGUUUUUGAUAAACAGGCG
rnacentral:rRNA from 1 species